GAUAAUUUUGCUGUAUAGGCGUAUAGGGUUUCCAAUUGAUUUCACCCCAUCCUGCCGUCUUUAUUUACUCAAUCGAACAGGUACAUAUUAUUUCUGAUAGUACACUCAUUUUAUUAUUGUUCAAUUCAAGCGUUUAUAUAGUUUGCUCCACGGUUUUGACAAGAAAAGGGUUUUUUGAAAUGUGAGAAGAAGAAUAAUUUGAUACAAUUAAAAUUCACGCCUUGGGUUUCACCUCUAUGAAUAUUUUUAUUUAUGUAUGGCUUGAAUUCGUCUAAUUCAAUGUUUUGCAGUGUUAUCAGUUGCGUGGGUUUGGGUGUGGGCAGUAUAUUCCUAACUAUAUUGUUUUCUUUUAGCAUUUUUUUUUUCAGUUUCUAAAAAUUCUGUAAUUUUUUUCUCGCAUCUGAAUUCCCAAAGGUAAAAAAAAAAAAUUGCCUUUUUGGUAUCUCUGUGAUAACCCGAUUCAUUUUUGUAGUCAUAAUGUUUUAAUUACAUUAAAUACAGAUGAGCCAGCCAGAGCAUCAUUCAACAGAUGCAAGUAAGUUCUUUUACCUAAAAUUUUAUAAAAUUGUUAGAUUCAGGUCUUCAAGAUUGCCAAAGUAGCUGAUGAACAUGUUUUUGUUUAGAGUAACUUAGAACUGAUUAUUUUUCUUCAGUAAUCAGUCAGGUUCAGUUUAAUAUCUCCCAGAAGAGCUUGCUAUAUGAAUAUUAAUUUAGUAACUUAAUUGCUGUUUUUAUUGUGUGAGAAGAGCAUGCCAAAGGAACCGAAGUUUUUGUUGGGGGAUUGCCCUCUACAGUAUCUGAAGACAAAAUCAGCAAGGUCUAAUUUCUCUCUCUUCCUUCAUCUUGUAUUGGCAGCUAUAUAUUGUAGAGUGUUACAGGUAAACAAUCCUUUUAUGUAGUGUGAAGGAAGCAUAAGCAAAUUGAUUAAGUAAAGAAGAUCAGAAAAGGAAAGAACUAGGUCUUCUUAGGCGAACG
rnacentral:lncRNA from 1 species